rnacentral:lncRNA from 1 species
UAAUGAGUUUCUUCCUAUUGGGAUUCCAGGCUGCAGCAUGAACGCUGCCUUCACGCUGGGCGCCUGUGUGACACGGACCUCGGCCUGCAGCAGCUCUUUGCCCUCCCUGAAGUCUCCAGCAUGAUCCAUGCCCUGGUGUCCAUGAUGGCCAGCGCGGAGGCAGGAGGGAGCCGGAACGCCUGCUUUGCUCUCAGCUGCCUGGCUGCCAACAAGGAGGGGCAUGACCACGUGCUGCAGAGCCCUGCCUUCCCCCGGGCUCUGGAUACGCUGUGCCGCCUGCUUCGCGCCAAGGAGCAGGAGUCCUCCUGGUUUGCUGCCAUGACCCUGCGUGUGCUCGCCAGCCAGCCCAAGGGGGUGAUGACACUACGAGAACACCCAGAGCU